UAAGUGGUUUGGUUCUCAGAUGAGAAUGUACAGGGAACUAAACGCCUCGUGGAGUGGUGCAAAAGGAAUAACAGGCUAUAUUCUACUAUAUUCUCGGCAGCGAUACCAACGCGCACCAUGCGGUGUGGAGCAGCAAAAACUGUUAUUUAAAGUUAAGUUAUGUUAAUUGGGAUAAGAUGUUUGCCUUCAAUAUACCCACUUGUGUAUGAAAGCAAUACCAGACUUGCUUAAUUCUAUUUAAAAUGGUAUUGGCUGUUUUAAGCUUGUGAGGACCCAAUUUGUAUUUAUUUUUAAAGGUGGCUAGCAGGCGAACAAAAUAUUCUAGGACAUUGAUUCAGUUAUCAGAUUGUAUCGAGCGGGCGAACAAAAUGUCCUAGGACAAUGAUUCUUUCAUUAGAUUGUGUCUAGCGGGCGAAUUUUUGGUUGUUUUAGGGGUCUAGCAGGCAAACAGAAUGUCCUAGGACAACGAUUCAUGAGAUUUUUUAGGUGUCUAGCGGGCAAAGCCGAUGUCGUAGAACAACAAUUAUUUCAUUCUAAUUGUUGUAGUUGUUUUCAAUUGUCAUAUACAAUAUUUGUGUUUAAUACUACGGGAAAGCACAAAAGGGCAAUUUUGCCACAGUACGUUAAUUAAAAACCUUUUUUCCAAAUAAUUCUUUUGUAAACUUCAUCUCAUAACUUGUUAACUUGCAAUAUAUUUCUAACUAGCUUUAACCCGCGGCUUCGCUCGCGAAUAUCUAAUAUAAUGAAGUUGCUUCCGUACGCGUCUGUAGUCACAGAAGAAGUAACAAUGAAGUAGAAUGGCGGGAAGUUUAAAAUGGCUGAAAGUAUAGUCUAUGGAAGUAUAGUUUACAGUCUCCAUAGUGUAGUCAAUUGGAUUUGAUGUUGACGUAGCUGUCGGUAAUACAGUGUGAUAAUACAGUGUGAUGGUACUAUAGUACAAGUUAGGUGUGAGCUUCAUUGCUGGAAUGCUAGAUGACGUUAAAGUAGUCAAAUAACCAGAGGCAGAGGUAUUAUUGGCUAAACAAUUUCUUUAUUUUAUUUAAAAAAUAAUUUUUUUUAUUAAAAAAAGGUAGCCUAUAACCAUUCGGGGACCACUAAGAAUAUGUAUACAUAUUUUCAUGAUGAUCUGUUGAGUAGUUUUUGCGUGAAAGUAUAAUAAACAUCAGGUCUUUCGCAUUUAUAAUAUUAUUAGUAGGGAUUGCAUUUCUGUCGUAUGCAGAUAGAAGAAUGCCCCUCCAACUGCGGGUCUGUUAUCAAUUUCCUGGCUUGCUUAGUUCGGCUUAGUCGGUUGAGCGCUGCUCUGUGGUUCGCACGUGUUUCCUUCAUUAAUCAAACGUGGUGACGAUUUCUUGCAUUUCUUGAUAUUUUGUAGCAUUACUAGAAUCGAUUGACAACAAAAGCAUUAGUAGUAACAGCCCAGUGUGGCAUAAAACGAAUGAUUUGAGUGAUUCGUUACGGUGCGCGCGUAGCGUCCGUCGGAUAUGUUCCGGUGACUAUGAAUACUUUCUGAUGUUCAAGUUAUAUUUAUGUGUUUGUGAAUACAAGUGAAUACAUUUCAUCAAUUCUACAUAUAGUUUGCGGAAAUGUGUUUGUGCGGUUUAGUCCUUUGAUAGAAGAACAAUGAAGUAAGUAGCAGCAAAUAAAACUUUUACUUUUAUUUAACUUUUUAAAUCUCACAGUUACCAUGUUAUUGCUUUAGAAUAAUUGUAAAUGUUCGGUCAAUAAAGGAAAUUUUCCAUUCUUGUAAACAAUGUGUUCACUUAGUCGUUUUCUGGAUUAGUAUUAAGUCAUGUUGAACUCUAAGAGGACACCAUAGAAUAACAUAGUGAAGAAAGAGAGAGAGAAUAAAGGAGAGAGGAGAGCAGAUAGGAAAGAGGCACCCCGAAAGAACACAAGACUGGUAGCUUGGAAUUUAAAUUUUUUGGCGGCGUGUCGUUCUAUAAUACAGUCAAUUCUUAUCAUUUUUAUACCUGCUUUGUUCAUGUUGCAUGCCUAUACUUUCUCCUGUUUAGUCGUUCAGUGCGCGUUUGCCACGACCCUCGUUGCAUCUUUUAGCGGUUCUGGAGAUUUUGAUUUGGUAGUAAUUUGUAACGGUCGGCAAUGGUAUUUUGUAAUAACACUCGGUUGUGUCCAACGGUUAAUGGUUUGCGGAAUGUGGAUUCCAGAAUUGAGUGGCUCUAUUCACAUGUGUUCCGACGGCAACCGUUAUAAUUACUGGGACUUUGUUCCCCGUGUGAAGUGAAGAUUGUCAGCAAGGGAAAUAAUGUGAGUAGCAUCAAUUCUAUUUACAAUUAUCAUGUGAUGUGUUAAACUUGCCUAUGAGGGGGCUGUAGUAACAGUUAUCUCAUCCAUGUUUACUUAUCCUUACUAAUAUUAUAAAUGCGUAUGUCCUGAAGUUUAUCGUGCUUUCACGCAAAAACUACUUAACAGAUCAUCAUGAAAAUUUGUACACAUAUUCUUAGUGGUCCCCGAUAGGUUAUAGGCUACUUUUCAUUUAAUAAAAAUAAUUAUUUUUUUAAAUAAAAUAAAGAAAUUGUUUAGUCACUAACACCUGUGCAUCUGGUUAUUUGACUACUUUAACGCCCUCUAGCAUUCCAGCAAUGAAGCUCACACCUAAGUACUAUAGUACCAUCACACUGUAUUACCGACAGCUACGUCAACAUCAAAUCCGUACACAUAUUCUUAGUGGUCCCCGAUGGUCCCCGAAUGGUUAUAGGCUACUUUUUUUUAUUAAAAAAAUUUUUUUAAAUAAAAUAAAGAAAUUGUUUAGCCAAUAAUACCUCUGCAUCUGGCUAAUUGACUACUUUAACGCCAUCUAGCAUUCCAUCUAAAAUUUAAAACUUUAUUGCAUGUAGUAAUUUUUUCACAUAGAUAAUCCUAGCCAAGCAGUGAAAUAUACAUUCUUUCUAUCAAUCCGUUUCAAC